GGCGAGGUGGUGGAAUAGGUAGACACAUCCGGGAUAAGCGCGAAUAAGCCCGGUAGCCGCAAUGACCGCAUAAGUCUUUUGUUUGAAGUGAUCAAUUCAGUCAUUAGAUGAACUGCAUAGGCAUGAAGGUUCGACUCCUUCCCCCGCCA
rnacentral:tRNA from 1 species